CAAAGGGGCUGGAAACAAACCCACUUUGUGUUCACCAAAAACAAGACGCCGCUGUUGUUGCGCUGUGGGCUGUGAUGUCAUCGUCAUGGUUCAUCCUCUCCGUGACCUCGGGUACAAUGAUCCUCGAAUAGCAACAUCAGAAGUGGAAGCAGAUCGCCUGCAGAUCGCUGUGACCGGCGGCACUGACCACAAGAUACUCCAGAGUUGCCUGGCAGUAUGGAAACAACGGGGCACCCCCGCUUUUCUCAUCGCUAAGCCGCUGUCUGCUGUCCGGUGGCCCCGGAUAAACGUGUUACGCCAUGGAAGACUCUGCCAACAACACCCGUCAGCCCCACACCUCCACCUACCGAACUCUGUGUUUCCCAGACGACAAAGUGUCAGCUCACAUCCUAAUGACAUGAUUUCGCCUCACAGUUGUAAAAUUGCAUAACGUCUCCCUUCCGUAGUCGAUAGGAGUUCAUCCAGAGUUUUAUUUCUGCACAAGUUGGUUUUAUCAAAUAUUAUGAAGCCGAACACUAGGCAAGUACUCUGCUGCAGGUGCCGAGGGCAAGAAACUUGAUUUUUGCUUAGUGAAAUAAGCAAACCCCCCAACAACACAGCGUUAAUUAUUCACCCUCACUGGACCAGUGGGACAUUCUGAUAUGACUGGAGGUGGUUACAGGGUCUAAGGUUGCAGAGUAGACAUGACAGAGGUUGAAAUGUUUGCUGCCAAGAAAUAUGGGCCCAUCUGAUGUGAAAGCUGCCCACAGGGCGUCAGAAUGAAUGGUAAUAAUCUAUCAGGAGGGAAUGCAGCCGGAAUUAUGAACCACCCCCCCAGAAGGAAUGAAAGACAAGGAAAUGACCCCUUUUUAUUAUUUUGUCAUUUGCACUGUUGAUCCUUUUGCUUUCCCACUUAGAAAAAAGACUGAUGGUUGGCUUAAGCUGAAACUUGUUCGUGUUAAUAUUGCACUUAUUCAACCAUGAGAUAAAGACUCAUACACAAAAGAAAGGUGUGGGCCCGUCCUGUUGAUCACAGGUAAAACGAAUGUCUCUCUGCCAAAACAAGCAGCCAUGAGCACCAGAGGGCGGGGCUUGGAAAGCUGCACGGUGACUGAGCACACUUUGUGGAAUUGGAGCUGGGCGGGUGGUUUUGGGCCAACCCAACACAGUCAUCUUUGUUUUGUUGGUGCACAACAUAAAAAUGCCAUUGUGUGUGCUGCGCGCAUUAUCGUUGCGGCCGUUGCGUAACAUCCGAAUACGAUCUGGUGCAACAGCUGCUCUGACACAGUUUGUGGAGG
ensembl:lncRNA